rnacentral:rRNA from 1 species
GACAGAGGAUGCAAGCGUUAUCCGGAAUGAUUGGGCGUAAAGCGUCUGUAGGUGGCUUUUUAAGUCUGCCGUUAAAUCCCAGGGCUUAACCCUGGACAGGCGGUGGAAACUACCAAGCUGGAGUACGGUAGGGGCAGGGGGAAUUUCCGGUGGAGCGGUGAAAUGCGUAGAGAUCGGAAAGAACACCAACGGCGAAAGCACUCUGCUGGGCCGACACUGACACUGAGAGACGAAAGCUAGGGGAGCGAAUGGG